UACGGAAGGCAGCAGUGGGGAAUAUUGCACAAUGGGCGCAAGCCUGAUGCAGCCAUGCCGCGUGUAUGAAGAAGGCCUUCGGGUUGUAAAGUACUUUCAGUCGUGAGGAAGGUGUUAAGGUUAAUAACCUUAGCAAUUGACGUUAGCGACAGAAGAAGCACCGGCUAACUCCGUGCCAGCAGCCGCGGUAAUACGGAGGGUGCGAGCGUUAAUCGGAAUUACUGGGCGUAAAGGGCACGCAGGCGGUUAAUUAAGUUGGAUGUGAAAUCCCCGGGCUUAACCUGGGAAUGGCAUUCAAGACUGGUUAGCUAGAGUCUUGUAGAGGGGGUAGAAUUCCAUGUGUAGCGGUGAAAUGCGUAGAGAUGUGGAGGAAUCCGGUGGCGAAGGCGGCCCCUGGACAAAGACUGACGCUCAUGUGCGAAAGCGUGGGGAGCAAACAGGGAUUAGAUACC
rnacentral:rRNA from 1 species